rnacentral:rRNA from 1 species
UACGUAGGUCCCGAGCGUUGUCCGGAUUUAUUGGGUGUAAAGGGUGCGUAGACGGAGAAGCAAGUUAGUUGUGAAAUCCCUCGGCUUAACUGAGGAACUGCAACUAAAACUACUUCCCUUGAGUACUGGAGAGGAAAGUGGAAUUCCUAGUGUAGCGGUGGAAUGCGUAGAUAUUAGGAGGAACACCAGUGGCGAAGGCGACUUUCUGGACAGUAACUGACGUUGAGGCACGAAAGUGUGGGGAGCAAACAGG